rnacentral:rRNA from 1 species
UACGUAGGUGGCAAGCGUUGUCCGGAUUUACUGGGCGUAAAGAGCGCGCAGGCGGUCGUUCAAGUCGCGUGUGAAAGCCCCCGGCUCAACUGGGGAGGGUCACGCGAUACUGAUCGACUCGAAGGCAGGAGAGGGAGGCGGAAUUCCCGGUGUAGUGGUGAAAUGCGUAGAUAUCGGGAGGAACACCAGUGGCGAAGGCGGCUCUCUGGGUCGACCCUGACGCUGAGGCGCGAAAGCGUGGGGAGCGAACGGG